rnacentral:rRNA from 1 species
GUGCACCAGGCGAGAAACCUUCGCAAUGCGGGAAACCGCGACGAGGGGACUCCCAGUGCCUACGCUCAGCGUAGGCUGUUCCCGAGCCUAGAAAGCUCGGGGAGUAAGGGCUGGGUAAGACGGGUGCCAGCCGCCGCGGUAAUACCCGCAGCCCGAGUGGUGGCCACUAUUAUUGGGCCUAAAGCGUCCGUAGCCGGCCCGGUAAAUGCCUGGGUAAAUCGUGAGGCCUAACCUCACGAAUUCCGGGUAGACUGCCGGGCUAGGGGCCGGAGGAGGGGAGAGGGUACUCCAGGGGUAGGGGUGAAAUCCUGUAAUCCCUGGAGGACCACCGGUGGCGAAGGCGCUCUCCUAGGACGGGUCCGACGGUGAGGGACGAAAGCCAGGGGAGCGAACCGGAUUAGAUACCCCUGUA